UUUUAAUGAUUUUUUUCAUAAUAAUUUUUCAGUUCCCUACAUUGGAGUUUUAGACAAUUAUGACAAUUAUGUGUGUAUCAUAUACAGAUUAAAUGUAUAUAAAUACACUUAUAUAUAACUGAAUAUAUAUAUAUAACACAUAAACUGUAUAUAUAAAUUUCCACGUAAUAUAGAUACAUAGACUAUAUGUACCAUUUUCAUGUAAUUUAUUCAUGUAUCUAUCAAUAAUUAUCUCCUUGGUUCUGAUGUCUGUUGGUCUGUUGACCUUUUGAUAUUUGGAUUUGAAUUUUCAACAGUAAAAUUCUAAAUUUGGGUCCCUAUGUGAAUUGCCUAAAGGAAGGGGAAAAAAAAUUCUCACCAGAUACAGUGAUUUGACAAAUUUCCAUAUGCGUGCUACAUUAAUAAAACAGCUACACUCAAUUAAGAAGUAAAAGAAGUGUCAAUAAAUUAUCAUUCAAAAAUUAUCCACAGUCAAAUGGCAAACCUUAUUCCUCAUAAUAAAGCAUGGAAGAAAUUUUCAUUAUAUCAAGAAUAAAGCAAGUGUGUUUGACAUCUCUACUACGAUGCUAAUUGUUCUGAAAGUGCUAGAAAAGACCGCGAUGGAAUCAAGGCUAAAAAUGGAGAAAAUAGCUCAAUCAUUACCAAUUGUAAAUUUUCCCUAGCACUGUGCGCAUAACUGAACACACCACAGGUACUCGGUGGUUGAGAAAUAGAUGAAUGGCCAAACGCAUAAGAGUGCAAUUAAUGAGUG
rnacentral:lncRNA from 1 species